rnacentral:rRNA from 1 species
UGGGGAAUAUUGGACAAUGGGCGCAAGCCUGAUCCAGCCAUGCCGCGUGAGUGAUGAAGGCCCUAGGGUUGUAAAGCUCUUUCACCGGUGAAGAUAAUGACGGUAACCGGAGAAGAAGCCCCGGCUAACUUCGUGCCAGCAGCCGCGGUAAUACGAAGGGGGCUAGCGUUUUUCGGAUUUACUGGGCGUAAAGCGCACGUAGGCGGAUUUUUAAGUCAGGGGUGAAAUCCCGGGGCUCAACCCCGGAACUGCCUUUGAUACUGGAAGUCUUGAGUAUGGUAGAGGUGAGUGGAAUUCCGAGUGUAGAGGUGAAAUUCGUAGAUAUUCGGAGGAACACCAGUGGCGAAGGCGGCUCACUGGACCAUUACUGACGCUGAGGUGCGAAAGCGUGGGGAGCAAACAGG